AGCAGCCGCGGUAAUUCCAGCUCCAAUAGCGUAUAUUAAAGUUGUUGCAGUUAAAAAGCUCGUAGUUGAAUUUCGGGAUCAAUAUGUCGGUCGUGCCUUCGGUACGUACUGGUAUCAUUGGUCUCUCCUUUCUGACGAACCAUGAUGUCAUUAAUUUGGUGUUAUGGGGAGUUAGGACUGUUACUUUGAAAAAUUAGAGUGUUUAAAGCAGGCUUUAGCUUGAAUACAUUAGCAUGGAAUAAUGAAAUAGGACGUUCGAACCUAUUUUGUUGGUUUCUAGGAUCAACGUAAUGAUUAAUAGGGAUAGUUGGGGGCAUUAGUAUUCAAUUGUCAGAGGUGAAAUUCUUGGAUUUAUUGAAGACUAACUACUGCGAAAGCAUUUGCCAAGGAUGUUUUCAUUAAUCAAGAACGAAAGUUAGGGGAUCGAAGACGAUCAGAUACCGUCGUAGU
rnacentral:rRNA from 1 species